rnacentral:rRNA from 1 species
GAUGAACGCUGGCGGCGUGCCUAAUACAUGCAAGUCGAGCGAACAGACGAGGAGCUUGCUCCUCUGACGUUAGCGGCGGACGGGUGAGUAACACGUGGAUAACCUACCUAUAAGACUGGGAUAACUUCGGGAAACCGGAGCUAAUACCGGAUAAUAUAUUGAACCGCAUGGUUCAAUAGUGAAAGACGGUUUUGCUGUCACUUAUAGAUGGAUCCGCGCCGCAUUAGCUAGUUGGUAAGGUAACGGCUUACCAAGGCAACGAUGCGUAGCCGACCUGAGAGGGUGAUCGGCCACACUGGAACUGAGACACGGUCCAGACUCCUACGGGAGGCAGCAGUAGGGAAUCUUCCGCAAUGGGCGAAAGCUUGACGGAGCAACGCCGCGUGAGUGAUGAAGGUCUUCGGAUCGUAAAACUCUGUUAUUAGGGAAGAACAAAUGUGUAAGUAACUAUGCACGUCUUGACGGUACAUAAUCAGAAAGCCACGGCUAACUACGUG